AGAGUUUGAUCAUGGCUCAGAUUGAACGCUGGCGGCAUGCCUUACACAUGCAAGUCGAACGGUAACGGGCCUUCGGGUGCCGACGAGUGGCGAACGGGUGAGUAAUGCAUCGGAACGUACCUUUCAGUGGGGAUAACGUAGCGAAAGUUACGCUAAUACCGCAUAUUCUGUGAGCAGGGAAGCAGGGGAUCGCAAGACCUUGCGCUGAUUGAGCGGCCGAUGUCAGAUUAGCUAGUUGGUGAGGUAAAGGCUCACCAAGGCGACGAUCUGUAGCGGGUCUGAGAGGAUGAUCCGCCACACUGGAACUGAGACACGGUCCAGACUCCUACGGGAGGCAGCAGUGGGGAAUUUUGGACAAUGGGGGCAACCCUGAUCCAGCCAUGCCGCGUGAGUGAAGAAGGCCUUCGGGUUGUAAAGCUCUUUCGGCCGGGAAGAAAUCGCAUGGGUUAAUACCCUGUGCGGAUGACGGUACCGGCAUAAGAAGCACCGGCUAACUACGUG
rnacentral:rRNA from 1 species